GGGCGAUUAGCUCAGCCCGGAUCUAGAGCGCGUUGUUUGCAACGACGAGGUCGCUGGUUCGAAUCCAGUAUCGCCCA
rnacentral:tRNA from 3 species